rnacentral:misc_RNA from 1 species
UAUGUCCAAUGUUCUGAGAAACUGCCAGA